GUACUUAUCUCCUUUCUGCAGUAGAAAAUGUUACUUAGCAUGGGGAUUACAUUUCUCUGGCAUCCAUUUUAUUGUCAGAGAAACAUUUUACAAGAAGGGCUUACUUCUUGUUUGCCUGUAUGUGGCUCAGCCAUCGUAUGGAAAAAUGGUCUUGAGAUUAAGGCACUGGUCUGUGGCUUGGGAGACCACUGUUCAAUUCCCAACCUCAUCUCAGCCUUACUGUGUGGCCUUGGUUCAGUGUCUUAAACUUGAGCCUCUCCCACUAAAGCCAAUAGAAGGGGUCUCAUUGAAUUCAAUGGCCAUAGAAUUGGGCUACAAGUUUGUCUAGCCUUCAGUUCCCCAUUGAUAAAAAGGGGACAGUGAUCUUUCUUGACCUCAAGGGAAUGUGAGGUUCUUGGGUAUUAUGGUGAUGGGGACUAAGAUCCCAGCUAGAUCUUGUAGAGGAGCACAAACAUAGUCCCAUUCUAGGGAGCUUGCAGGUGCUAGUUUCCUAGAUGAGGGUAAGGUGGAUAUGGGGCCAAGGCCCUGUCCAUACCAGCUUGGACAGCUUGUAAGGCACAUCAGCGGCCCAGGGCCUGAGCUUAAACUUGAUCUAACAAUAGGCAAAAUCAAUGCACAUCCCUGAUCUUGGCUGUACAGGUGUACUCUGGAAGAGGGUGGAAUAACUUAAUUUCUCUCCUCUGUGCCCCCUUUUCAGAACUCAUGCAGCUCCCAUAGCACUCGAAGUAUGUGAGAUAUGGGGGAAAUUUCCUAUUGGAAGGAGCUAAUUACAGAAGAAUCUAAAUAACCCCCCUCAUCUUACUAUAAACUGCUCUCUCAUUAAAAUACAAAGCACUGCACUGCAACACACCCUGUGCAUCAGGCAUCAAACCCUCAGUGGUAAUGGAUAUUAGAAUUUUGGAAUACUUCAUACUUUAAUACAAUGUGUUUAAUACCCAUAUGUAGGUCUGUAACCAUUGCUCAGGUGUAACACUAGCGCCAUCUAUUGAUCAAUAUAGUUAGGAGGUGCAGGAAGAACAUGAAACAUGGAUGUCUGAUUAUUAUUAUAAUUAAAUGUAUAUGAGUAAUACAUGUAUUUGUCCUGCUUGCUAUUUUUUCAGUGGCUUCACAUAAUAUUUUCGGUGGGUCAGUUGCUCUUAUGAAGGAGAGGUAAUUUGCGUAAGUAAAGUUUAACUGAAAGCAUUCUUUGGCUUAAAUUCUUUGUGAAAUAUUACAUGCACUAUGGCAAAGAAUUACAGGCAAGAAUUACUUUGCAAUGAUGGAGUUAAACAAUGCUUUUAUUUAGCAGGAUUACAUUCAUUUUAUAAUCAAAGAAAAGGUCAGUGGCAAAUCAACUGAAAUUUAACGUGCAAUACAAAAAAUAGUCAAGUAGAUUAUGACUCUAUUUCCUAUUUAAGAAUAAAAUUCAGCAGGAGUUCCAUACUUUGAAGCAGACUCAUUUAGACUGAGACCAGAAGGGACCAAUCAUGAUCAUCAUGCACAUUGCAGGCCACAGAACCUCACCCACCUGCUCCUGCAAUAGACCUAUGCCCAUUAAUAGCUAAAAUAAGAUUUUUGAAUAAUCUAAAGUAAUUAUGGAAAUAGUUUCAAUUACUGAACAAUAUUCAGGACAUACAACUCAGAA